GUCUGUGUGUGUCUGUGUCUGUGUGUCUGUGUGUGUGUUUGUGUGCGUGAGGUCUUUGUUUUCUUGAUUAAGAAAAAUAAUCAAAUCAUUUUCUCUUUGAUUUUAGUAUCAGCAGCGUCGCCAACAGGAGAAUAUGCAGCGCCAGAGUCGAGGGGAGCCCCCUCUUCCUGAGGAGGACCUCUCCAAACUCUUCAAGCCCCACCAGGCCCCUGCCAGGAUGGAUUCGCUGCUCAUUGCAGGCCAGAUUAACACUUACUGCCAGAACAUCAAGGAGUUCACUGCCCAGAACUUAGGCAAACUCUUUAUGGCCCAGGCUCUUCAGGAAUACAAUAACUAAGAAAAGGAAGUUUUCAGAAAAGAAGUGGAGUCGAAGAAGACCGCUGAGACUUCCCCAGAGUGACUCUUGGAACAAUGUUUCUGUCCUGCAAGUGGAGAGGGAUUCUCCAAUGCCAUUGCUGCAGUGUUUUUCUAGCCAGCAAUAAAACCUUGAUUGAUUGUG